rnacentral:lncRNA from 1 species
ACAAGAGGUAUCAAUCAAGUGUCGAGCCUCAGUAUACACCAAUCAGUCCCUGAAUCAUACAAAGAAUUUUGAACACACACACACACACACUCUUCAUUCCUAUGGUUUGUGUUUCAAGUUUCAUCUGUGUUACCAGGAAAGCUAGGGUGGAGCCUGCGGGGACUUACCCAUGGUAAUAAUAUUGAGGUGGAGUAAAACAUGGACUCGGCAGGAUUGAGUUUGUGGAUCUUGUUUGAAAGAUGGUGGUUGAUGGAAAGGUAGCUGAAAUUGAGAAUCCUGAUGAUGCUGCGGCCGAGAAUGGUGGGACUGGGGCAGUAUUCACCUGACCAUGCGUUUGCCACGCCCAAUUGGGGAGUCCUUUUGAAGGAUCUAUGCUAAUACCCUCUGCUCCUUCCUGCUAAAUAGUUUAACAAUCUUUUACUGUCUUACAAUGAUUAUCUCAUACAAGAAAACAUGUCAUCAUAUAUUUCUUUCAAUGCGCAAACAAACAUUGUUCCAAAAGCUCAUUGAUAAAAAUUCAUUAGUAAAUCCCUAAACAUAAAAUUAACUUUCACUGUUAUGUAUGGCAUUCUAAUGUCAAGCAUUCUUCAGUGUUCUAAUGAUGGCACACUAGCAGGGAAAUCAUUGUAGUAAAGGUUUUUAAUGAAGUGCUCAAAAAAAGAAACAAGCAAACAAAUCAACUCUAGCUGAAAACUAACACUAGAUGGUGAAAUCACC